ACUUGGCACCCACGGCCCUUCCUCGCAAAGAGAGAACGCAGAUGGCCCUGACAGCUGGGGACGAGGAACCGCAAGCCAUGGAAGAGAUCGCAGCUGAAGAUGGAUUAUGAAUUUUCCCUGGAAAAUAUUGCCUGAGCGAGAAGUAGCGGAAGUUUAGGCAACUCUACUACAUGAAAAAUACACACAGAACUUCACAGCCAGCUUUUCAAGCCAGCAGCUGAGAGCAGAUUGCCAGGGCGAGGAUGCAGAAAAGAAGAGAGCCUGGAAGGAUGACAAUUUUACGUAUGGCUGCCCCGAAGAAAACAUCUGAGGACGUCUGUCUGCAGAAUCUUCUUCGUUUUAACAUCAAAAUUAAAAUCACAGGAACCCAUCUGCCAGUGCCUCUGACUCAGGGUUCAGGUUUCAAUGAGGCUGUUGUAGCAAUGAAGCUCUGACCUUGCAAAAAAGGUCAACGUUUUAGGAAAUGGCAGAACAACAAAAUGCAGGGGACUGGGUCCCUGAUCGGCUCUGUGGAAAGAGUGGGGCCACUUACACAGACUAGCGUGACUCUCAUGUGGGCAGGAAAUUAAGUCCAGCAUGCACAGUCUGUAAUGCCGAGGCAUCUCCUUAUUAUAGACGUGGAGUCUCUACUUUAUAUAUUUAGAAUCUUCCCAGUUUUUUUUUUUUUUUUUUAACACCAACUCCUUCGGUCUCCUUCAGUUCUGUGUACUCCUGAUUUGCUUCCAGUAAAUUAUAUUUUGAUUAAGAUAGUGAAAUUU